CCAAUAGCGUAUAUUAAAGUUGUUGCAGUUAAAAAGCUCGUAGUUGAAUUUCGGAAUCAGUACGUUGGUCAUGCCUUGGUAUGUACUGAUGUCACUGAUUUCUCCCUUCUGAAGAACCGUCAUGCCAUUCACUUGGUGUGGCGGGGAAUCAGGACUGUUACUUUGAAAAAAUUAGAGUGUUUAAAGCAGGCUCGCGCUUGAAUACAUUAGCAUGGAAUAAUGAAAUAGGACGUUAAUCCUAUUUUGUUGGUUUCUAGGAUCGACGUAAUGAUUAAUAGGGAUAGUUGGGGGGAUUAGUAUUCAAUUGUCAGAGGUGAAAUUCUUGGAUUUAUUGAAGAAUAACUACUGCGAAAGCAUUUGCCAAGGAUGUUUUCAUUAAUCAAGAACGAAAGUUAGGGGAUCGAAGACGAUCAGAUACCGUCGUAGUCUUAACCAUAAACUAUGCCGACUAGGGAUCGGAUGAUGUUAAUUUUUUAAUGACUCAUUCGGCGCCUUACG
rnacentral:rRNA from 1 species